rnacentral:rRNA from 1 species
UGAAAAGCCCGCUCGCCGGAAGACCAAGGGUUCCUGUCCAACGUUAAUCGGGGCAGGGUGAGUCGACCCCUAAGGCGAGGCCGAAAGGCGUAGUCGAUGGGAAACAGGUUAAUAUUCCUGUACUUGGUGUUACUGCGAAGGGGGGACGGAGAAGGCUAUGUUGGCCGGGCGACGGUUGUCCCGGUUUAAGCGUGUAGGCUGGUUUUCCAGGCAAAUCCGGAAAAUCAAGGCUGAGGCGUGAUGACGAGGCACUACGGUGCUGAAGCAACAAAUGCCCUGCUUCCAGGAAAAGCCUCUAAGCAUCAGGUAACAUCAAAUCGUACCCCAAACCGACACAGGUGGUCAGGUAGAGAAUACCAAGGCGCUUGAGAGAACUCGGGUGAAGGAACUAGGCAAAAUGGUGCCGUAACUUCGGGAGAAGGCACGCUGAUAUGUAGGUGAAGUCCCUUGCGGAUGGAGCUGAAAUCAGUCGAAGAUACCAGCUGGCUGCAACUGUUUAUUAAAAACACAGCACUGUGCAAACACGAAAGUGGACGUAUACGGUGUGACGCCUGCCCGGUGCCGGAAGGUUAAUUGAUGGGGUUAGCGGUAACGCGAAGCUCUUGAUCGAAGCCCCGGUAAACGGCGGCCGUAACUAUAACGGUCCUAAGGUAGCGAAAUUCCUUGUCGGGUAAGUUCCGACCUGCACGAAUGGCGUAAUGAUGGCCAGGCUGUCUCCACCCGAGACUCAGUGAAAUUGAACUCGCUGUGAAGAUGCAGUGUACCCGCGGCAAGACGGAAAGACCCCGUGAACCUUUACUAUAGCUUGACACUGAACAUUGAGCCUUGAUGUGUAGGAUAGGUGGGAGGCUUUGAAGUGUGGACGCCAGUCUGCAUGGAGCCGACCUUGAAAUACCACCCUUUAAUGUUUGAUGUUCUAACGUUGGCCCCUGAUCGGGGUUGCGGACAGUGUCUGGUGGGUAGUUUGACUGGGGCGGUCUCCUCCUAAAGAGUAACGGAGGAGCACGAAGGUUGGCUAAUCCUGGUCGGACAUCAGGAGGUUAGUGCAAUGGCAUAAGCCAGCUUGACUGCGAGCGUGACGGCGCGAGCAGGUGCGAAAGCAGGUCAUAGUGAUCCGGUGGUUCUGAAUGGAAGGGCCAUCGCUCAACGGAUAAAAGGUACUCCGGGGAUAACAGGCUGAUACCGCCCAAGAGUUCAUAUCGACGGCGGUGUUUGGCACCUCGAUGUCGGCUCAUCACAUCCUGGGGCUGAAGUAGGUCCCAAGGGUAUGGCUGUUCGCCAUUUAAAGUGGUACGCGAGCUGGGUUUAGAACGUCGUGAGACAGUUCGGUCCCUAUCUGCCGUGGGCGCUGGAGAACUGAGGGGGGCUGCUCCUAGUACGAGAGGACCGGAGUGGACGCAUCACUGGUGUUCGGGUUGUCAUGCCAAUGGCACUGCCCGGUAGCUAAAUGCGGAAGAGAUAAGUGCUGAAAGCAUCUAAGCACGAAACUUGCCCCGAGAUGAGUUCUCCCUGACUCCUUGAGAGUCCUGAAGGAACGUUGAAGACGACGACGUUGAUAGGCCGGGUGUGUAAGCGCAGCGAUGCGUUGAGCUAACCGGUACUAAUGAACCGUGAGGCUUAACCUUACAACGCCGAAG